ensembl:lncRNA
GUGUAGGCAGGCUAUUAAUGUGGUAGGGGUAGGCAGGCAAGUAUUAAUGGUAGGGUAGGCAGGUAUUAAUGGUAGGGGUAGGCAGGGUAUUAAUGUGGUAGGGGCAGGCAGGGUAUUAAUAUAUGGUAGGCAGGGUAUUAAUGUGGUAGGCAGGGUAUUAAUAUAAUGGGUAGGCAGGGUAAUGUGGUAGGCAGGGUAUUAAUAUAGUAGGGGUAGGCAGGGUAUUAAUGUGGUAGGGGGAGGCAGAAAAUUAACAUGGUAGGGGUAGGCAGGGAAUUAAUGUGGUAGGGGUAGGCAGGGUAUUAAUAUGGUAGGCAGGGUGUUAAUGUGGUAGGCAUGGUAUAAAUAUAGUAGGGGUAGGCAGGGUAUUAAUGUGGUAGGGGUAGGCAUGGUAUUAACGUGGGGCAGGGUAUUAACAUGGUAGGGGUCGGCAGGGUAUUAAUGUGGUAGGGGUAGGCAGGGUAUUAACGUGGUAGGCAGGGUAUUAAUAUGGUAGGGGUAGGCAGGGUAUUAAUGUGGUAGGGUAGGCAGGGUAUUAAUGUGGUAGGGGUAGGCAGGGUAUUAAUGUGGUAGGCAGGGUAUUAAUAUGGUAGGGGUAGGCAGGGUAUUAAUAUAGUAGGGGUAGGCAGGGUAUUAAUGUGGUAGGGGUAGGCAGGGUAUUAAUAUGGUAGGCAGGGUAUUAAUAUGGUAGGGGUAGGCAGGGUAUUAAUAUGGUAGGCGGGGUAUUAACAUGGUAGGGGUAGGCAGGGU